CACCGCCAUCAUCUCCAGAAAUUAUUCAUCUUCCCAAACUGACACUCUGUCCCCAUCAAACCCUCACUCCCCACCCCUCCCCCAGCCCCCGAGAACCACCCUUCCACUUCCUGCCUGUGUGGAUUGGGACUCUAGGUGUCUUACGUAAGUGGGAUCGUGCAGUACUUGUCCUUUUGUGCCGGGCUUGUUUCACUCGGCAAAAUGGCUUCAGCUUCACGGGUGUUGGAGCCCGUGUCUGAAUCUCCUUUCUUUCCAGGCUGAAUGAUAUUAUUCCGUUGCAUGCAUAGACCACACUUUGUUCAUCUGUGGACAGACAUUUGCUUGCUUCCACCUUUUGGCUGCUGUGAAUUGUGCUGCUCUGAACAUCUGUGGGCAGGUACAUGUGGGAGGCACCUGUCUUCCCAGGGCCUGCCUCUGAAGGGCCCCCGGAAGUGUGGGUGCCGCCAUCGUAGGACAAGCACACGCUCUGGCAUCAGGUGUGGCCUGUGUUUGCAACGUGCGUCCCACGCCCGGGCUGGGAGAGCAUACCCGGAUUUGCAGCUCAUUCAUCCUGCAGGCGCCCGGCUGAGCUGAGAAGGUUUCUGAGGCAGAACCACCUGUGCCUGCCACUCUUCUUCCUAAAAAGGCACCGCGUUCAAAGAGCUUCUCCAGAAGAAAGGCAAAGAAUCUGUUCACCUUGAAACCUCAUCGCUUAUGGUCCUUAAAAUCAUGCACACGUAAUAUUUAUGUAACUGUGUUCACGUGACACAUAAAGGCUUCCAAGCUGCCUGGUGCGUUCAGGGGCAGAGAAGGAGGGAGAAGACGUGAAGAUCUGCUGUGCCUUGUCUGUCCACAGCCCAGCAGUCCGAGACCAGCUGGGGGACGGGCACUGACCACUCAGCGGCUGCACAGCGUGGGCCUCCACUCUCGCACACCAGCAGGAUUUUCACUGCCUCCUGGAAAGCAAAGCCAGCCAGUGGAGAGGCAGAUGUUGGCUCAGGACAGAGACAAGCUUUCAAAUGACUAGAGAAGUGACCUUGAGAGGUGGUGAGCCCCGUGUCCCCAGAGGUAUGCAAGUAGAGACUAAAAGACCAUUGGUGAGGGAUACUAUGACAGGCAGAGAACGGGGGGUGGUUCUUGGAGGACUCGGUGGCCCAGCAGUGUUGAUGCUUCUGAAGGAAUGGUGUUCGCCACGCUGCCUUGACUCUACAGAGCCUUGGGAGGCAGCAUCCACCCGGACAACAGCAGAGCAAAUAACGGCACGAGCUGCUGCACGAGGGCCCUGUAGGGAGGGCCUCCGAGGCCUGUGCUCCUGGCAGGAGGGCUGUGUUAAGAACGUGGAUUCUGGAGCCCAGGAAUCUGGGUCCAACCCCUUCGUGAGGCAGGACGGGACCCAGGUGGAGGAUGUUUUGAUGGAGGUGACAGUGAGCCUUUCCCACAGCCGGGAAGGAAGGGCCUCCACUCUAGACAGUCCUGUCCUACUUGAACCAUCACCACCACUGUCAUCAUCCCUGUGGGAGUCUGCUGUGUGCCAAAUACUAUUUCAGUAACUCACUGAAUCCUCCCCAGCCCUCCAUUCUAAGGAAAUGGAGGCCCAGAGAGGUUCAUUAACUUGCCUAAGGUCACACAGCGGAUCAGUGGUAAAAUCCAGUAAAGCUGGGAUUUGUGGGGGCUCCAGCUCUGCGUGCCUGUGCGCAAGCCGGCUGCCUGCAGCCCCCACCUCCGCUGUGAUGGGACCCACAGCCCUUCGAGCCCUCUGCCAGAGACACCUCCUUGACCACAGGCUGCGUCAGUGAUGAGUCACCUCCUUCAUUCCAAGGAGGAGCUGGUUCCGGCCUGGUUACCGCUGGGGUCCGCCCGCAGACCUCUGCAGCCUGUCUCCUCCCAGAGCCCCUCGCCAGUUGUCGUCACCCGCCUUUCCGCAAGCCCUCUCUUCGGGAGCUCCCGAGUUUACACACACACACGCUAUGGUUAUUUCUUAGAUUGCCUGCUUCCUGGCGACAUCGUGGGGGACGGUGACCGGAUGAGUCUGAGGCUCACCCCGGGAGGAGCACCUGGGGCAGGCACCCCCAUCUGGAGGGCCAGCUCGGGCUUUGCCUACAUCAGGCAUGAGCAAGCGAGGGAUGUACGCUCUGGCAGUAGCCUGGGUCUUCAGUGACCUUCAGUGGUCUGGAACCAAACCCGCAAUAUCUCCAAGGUAUGCCUGCGUAUGAUCUUUGCACACGUUGAAGUACUUACUGAAGAAUGGUAUGAGUUUGGGGUCUGCUCUAAUAUAAUAUGGGAGGGGAGGGGAGGGGAGGAGGGUGCCUGAAAAGAGGCUCUUCCUGAGCUGGACUGUUGAAGCUGGGGGUGGGGACACCAACCUUCAUCACAUGACUCUCUAUAAAAACCAAAAGUUUGUUUUCAAAAAUUUACACACAUGAUAUAAAUCAAUAGCUUAGCUGAGAGUCCACGUUCUUGUCCCUCCCAGGGUUAAUUUCAGCAGUUUGGUGUCUGCGCCUCUAGAACUUCUCUGUGCAAAUACUGUGUAUGUUGUCUCUGUAUCCACUUAAGACAGGAGGGAGCUACCAAGACACACACCAUUUUCCUACCAGCUUUUAAACUUCACCUUACGUUGCAGACGGCUGGCUGCUUCAACCCUCUCAUUCUUUACUAGCUUCGCGGUGCUCCCCUGUAUCAAAGAACCAUCAUUUAUUUAUCGGAUCCUCCGGUGGUGGCCAGCUGGCAUGUCUCCGCGGUUCUGCUCUUGAGAACAGGGACGCAUCCUUGUGUGUAACAUACCUUUGUGCACGUGAGCAACUCCACACCUAUCUUUCUAGAGGGAAUCACUAGGUCAAAGGGUGUGCAUGCUUAAAAUUUUAAUCGAAUGGCGAAAUUGCCCUCCUGCCGGACUUUGUAUGUCCAGUGCCUGUCAUUCUCUUCAAGUGCAUUUUUGAGGACUGUUGUCAUUCGGUGUCUGCAGGAGUCAGAGCUGGAAGGGGCCUCCAUGAUCCUCUGAUCUCCUUCCAGGGCAGCCGCACCUGAGCCCCGGGGAAGGGCGGGGCCCGCCUGCCCACAGCACCCUUGGCCGGGGUCGGGUAGGGCAGUGGUUAUGGAUAUGCUGCCCACGUCUGAAUUAGGCCUCACCGUUUACUGGUUGUACGACCUUGAAUGCUGUCCUCGACCUUCCUGGGCCUCAGUUUCCUCACCUGUAAGCUGGGAGUAAUACUAACCCCAGGCGGCAGUCAGGGAGGGGCUAGUAAGCUGCAUUUGGACCAUUUGGGGUGGCUUUGGGGGACAGCUGGGGGAUGGGAGGUUAACAGUGACCCCCAUCAGGCACCACUUGGCACUGCCAGAACUGCCUUCCAAUGGUGGUAGUUGGGUUCAGUGCGCUUAUAUGUGAUGGAACCUAGCAUCCAGCCUAGGGCACACUGACAGUGCUCCAUGACCAUGGAACCCCGAGAGCCGACGUGAUGGCUGACAGGGGCUAGACCAGGACCAGGGAGACCCACCUUCCUGAGAGACUGACCAGGACAGGGAGGCCCGACCGAGAGGAAAAGAGGGGACCCAAGGAAGAGGGCCGACCUGGCCCCCCGCUUGUUAUUGUAAAUAAAGUUUUAUUGGAACACA